GGCAGGAACCGCGGGGCAGCAGCAGGGACAAGCAGACCCCAGAGCAGCAAGGGAGAUGUUGCAGAAACUCCGCAGCUGUAGCAGGAGCCACGGAGUGUCCCGGCAGGCAGGGGGUGUGGGUUUGAGUGUAGCAAAAAAGCCCAAGACAGCAGCAGAAAGCAGCCAGGCUCCUCCACAGCUGCCACGUGCAACCAGGGAGAUGCCUCCUCUGGGAAGGGGAAAUGGGUCCUGGGUUUUUCCUUGAGCCACCUGAAUAGGUGGUGAGGGUCCCUUCCAGUCAGAAUGGGUGUUAGGAAGGCCCCAGUUCAACAGCUGCUCUAAUGAGCAAAGGCUCACCCAUGGCAGCAGAAGCAGUGGGAUGACAAAACUCCAUCAUGGCAGCGGAUCCUCCGGCAGCACCCACUGUGCUGUGCCUCCUCCGAUGCUAAAAGCAAGAGAGGGAAAGGAGCUGAGCCCAGUCUGUCACCACCCAGCCAAAAUCUCCUGGUAUCUUUGCCUUUCCUAAGAGAAAACCUCCCAGAGGAAGACCAGGCUCAUCUACACCACUACUGGACCUUGAGAGAAAAACUACACUCUUCUACAGGAUCACUGCUUCAACAAAACCACACCUGUCACUCCAGGAGGACUGCAACUACCAAUUGGUCUGCUACCAGCACCCUGACCAGCUGAGUGCCAGGUCACACAGUGGGGAUGAAAUCCAUGCUGUCUUUUGCAUGUAUAGAAAUCUUCAAUUACAGGGUUGUCAGUGAGUAUGUUGAGCCUCAUAUGACGCAUGGAGAUUGGAAAGAAGAAGGAAAAAAGACCUCCUGGUCCUUUCUGUGUGAUGCUGUCUUUCAGCUGCCAGCAGUGAAUGCAGGAGCUCUCCAGCAGCCCUGAGUCACUGGGAAGCCUGGCUAGGUUGGCUCUAUGGGACAUGAAGCAUUGUCAGGAUAUCUCAGCCCAGAAACAAAACUGUAUCUCUUUUACCAUGGGAGGAAUCAAAUUGUUUACAAACUCAGGAUAUUAAAGCAAGUAAAUGAUGAAGGGUUCUCACAGCAAUUUUUGCCUCCUCCAAGGAGUUUGAGAGCACAGAGACAUUACAUUCCUGCUGGUUUUAUGCUAAUUGGAUACAUAUCAGACUUCUGCCUUCCCAAUGCUCCUUUUUAUUUGGGGCACACAUAAACAGUGACUUUCCAGUGCUCGUACCACAAGCUGGUGCUGAAAAUGAAAUGAUGUUCCCAUUUUUUCUGUUCACUGUUCUACAGCUCCUCCAGACUCAUGCUUUACUCUUACAGAAAUACCUUCUCUGGCUAUAGGUGUCAGCAGUCAGCUGAAAUUCCUUUGUACUUCAGCCAGCAGCCAGGCAGCACAGCCCUACAAAACUCUGCUCCACUGCCUCUCCUUUCAUUGCUUCACCUGUUGUUUCCCUUUAGCUAACCAACAAGUUUUUACUGUUUCAUCACUGCCUUGCAAGGUCUGUGCUCCUGGAGUGAUCAUCAGUAUUCACAGGAUUUGUCAACACCAUGAUUUUAUUGAUGCAUUGAGCAUAUUGAACACUUUCUGUGGAAUUCCCAGCCCCCGUGUUACUGUCAUCUGGGAGAAUCUCAGCUUUUAUAAAAGAAAGUACUCUGUCAUGGUCACAAAGAAAAGCUGGAACACAAGGUCCUGGUACACUCUGUAAAGUCAUAAAGCUGUGGGCAGAGGAACCAUUAAAAUGUGUUUCUAAAAAUCAUGGAAAAUAUUGCAGUUCUCAUUUCAGUGUUUACAGCAUGGCUUUGGGAUUUGGGGUAGGAAGUGCUGCGAAUGUUAUGCACAAGCCCAGCAGUGAGCAAUUGUUAAUGUGGGAUUGGGUUGUCUGCAGCUCCCACAGAAAAAUUACCAGGAGGAGGCAUCAGAAAAGUCUGAGAAAAGCUUCUUACAAUGGAUUUAGCCCCCUAGAGGGGUAGAGUGGACUCUGCAAACUGGCAGGAACAGAAGGUACCCAGUGCUAUGAACAUGCAGACUCAAGUGAAUGGUGCUGGCUGCCUGCCUGGGGUCUGCACUGCCUUCAGCCAAAACUUUUACCUGCUUGGUGUGGAAAUUGGUGACUUCUGACUCUGCAAUUCAAACCUGACUUCUGCUCUGAACAGCCUGCAAACAGCCCAUGCACUAGCCUUCCACAGCUUGUCCAGAACCUUCAAUGCUUCAGAUUCAGAUGAGACAUCUCCCCUAGCAGUCAUCCAGCUCUGCUGCCUUCCCUGCCAUGUUUGGAUUGAUCAUCAAACCAGGUGUCCACUCCAUACACAGUCAGUAAUCUAUAGAACAAACUGAUGGGAACAUCAGACAUUGACCUAUUCAGAGGAAGACAGUGAAACAAACUGCUAUUUCAGGAUGUCUUGUGGCCUUUUCAUUGGAAAACCUUAAUAAAAAAUGCUUAUGUUGCACAGGAAAUCUGGUUAGUCUCCAUGAAAGAACCUCUCAAUUGUUAAUCUCAUUUCUGCCAGAGACUAAAAUUUGGCUGCCGUGAUCAUUGUCAGCCUGUUGAUCUAAUAUUCGUAAUCAUAUCCGUAAUUACACAGCCAAUCACUUUUUAACGGGCAGUGGGACCACAGAAAAAUGCAUCUGCUUGGACUAGCAAAUCCACCCACUCUAGAGAUUCCUGCUUCUAGUUUGUCUUGCUUCUAAUAUUGAACAGUUUGAAAACUUCCACUGAAGUCCACAAAAGCCAUGACUGAUAUUGUUCCCCUUCCCUGUACAAAUGCAUCAUUUGUGUACCAAUUUUUUUGAUUCCAUUUAUCCUGUUGGAAUACAGCCAAUAACCCAGCCAUGAGGUGAAAGACAGAUCAGCUGCUCCAAAUAUCUUGGGGAGACACAGACUGAAGUUAGUUAAUAAGAAGAGAGACAGUCUUCUUACAAGGCAAUGAGUCAGAUUCUUUUUUAAUUUCCUUAUAUUCUAUAGAUAGCAUUUUGAUUUCCUUCUUUCUUAAAGACAGCAUAUUCAUAACUUGGAAUCUAGCAUAAGUGAAAAUACCAUGACUAUACAUGCUACAGAUUUUUCUGUCUGAAGAACAGAUAUUUAACACUAGGACUUCUACUAAACUAUCAUAAUUGCUUACAGUACCAUGCCUGCUUCUCAUCUACUUUGCUGUAGUUCAUACUAGUACAGGGGAGUUUGUAGUAACUAUAGAGAUAAAGGUCAUAAAUUUAGAUUUUUAAAUUACUAAAUUUCUAAUUGGACAUCAGAAAUCCGCUAAAAUCCUCUGGAAUCUCAUAGUUGUGAAUUCCUUCUUGUCACCUUUUGGAAAUCAUGACUUUCACUUGGCUAUGGGAAACACCUAGAAAAAGUCAGAACCUCCAAAGCAAGAUUCACAGUGUUGGGCUAUGUUUAAGACAUGUUGUGUAAUAUCUGCUGUAGAAGAAUUCUAGCAUCUUUAAAGAAUAAACCAGGACCAAAAUAAAUGGAAUUUUCACUUUCCUUAAUCACAGCUGAUUCCUGAGACUUACCAGCUUUCUGGGAACACAUCACUGCCUUCUAGGUUUCAGAGGAGAGCCCUACUUUUCUUGUAAAAUCACUUUGUAGAUAAUAUGGUUUGCAUUUGCCCAAGCCGUGGCAUGGGGAUUUCACCCUUGCUGGGAUACUCACUUUCAAAGCUUUGAUUGUUUCUCCACAAGAAUAGUGCUUAUGUUAAGCAAAAAAGACAAAUAGUGUCUCAUUAGCAGGAAAAUGUAAAUAAAAGUAAAAAAAGAAUGCUAUUUGUCCCUCAUAUUGUCGAGAAGGAAACUAUUUCAUGUCUUUACAAAGUCCUCCCCCCAGAGCAGAGAGGAGGUGGACUAAAAGUGGAAGUCAAAAUAAUGGGAGAGGGCUCUUGGCUGCCUUCCAGGGAAACAGUGAGAGUUUGCAUUGAAUUGCAGUACCAGCAACUUGGAAAUGCUUCCAAUUUACCAUGCAGUAACUACGCUCCAGUCUGAACAGCCAAAAGCCUGGACUGGUUGGUAAAAUACCCUGAAGUCCCUGCGAAUAGUCUGGAACUUAAAAAGCUUAAGCAGAAGACAGAAAAUGAAGUAUAAAAAUGUUGGCAGUGUUGCUAAGGAACCAAUAGCAAAUGUGGUAUGUUCCCCUUGAUUGCUUUCUGUAACCUUGAUUGCUUUUCUGUAACCCUGCCCCACAGCUGCCAUCACAACUGUGCAGAGCUGCUGCAUGGCCAGGGCCAACCCCACCCAGCUGGCCAGGAGUGAGACACGAGGAUGGAGGGAGAGUGCCUUGAGGGUGCCUACCAGCUUUGUGUAAAUAAAAUAACACUACCCCUUGAAUGCUCCAUCUUUGACAGUCUUGUGCACUUUUGGCAUUCACAUAAGAACCAGAAGUGAUGAUUUGGGUCAGUCAGAGCUGAGGGACCACAUGAGCCAGCAAUGUGAGGAGAGAUUUGCAUGUUCAGAGGGUACUUCUUAAGAAAACUCCACGGUAAAUAUGUAAAUAUCUGAACUCAGGGCUGUUUUCAGGGAGUUUACAGAGCCACAGGCAAUACAGUUACCAAGAAUAACAAUGCAGGACCAACAAAUGGUUUCCAACAGCUGCCUAAAUGCAGAAAAGGGAAGAACUCUGUGACUGUGUGAUGCAAAAUGCAGUGUUCCCAGCUGUUGAAUGCAGAACUGAAUUUAUUUUAUUGUAACAGUGCUACAUUCAGUCUCAAUUAAAUGCUCUCAAUAGACCCAUUUUCAAGUGUUAUUCAUACUAUAUGAUCAAUUCUCCAUUUACAAAUGGAGCAUCUUGAGAUAAAAAGACCACAAAAUUAGUAAUUCCUUUUAAUAAAACAAACAAACCCCAAGAAAGCAGGUUUCAACAGAAGGAAAUGAUGUGCCACAUACUACUAGGAAGCAGACAGGCCAAACACUUCACACUAUAACCAUUGAAUCAUAACAUGUUUUGGGUUAGAAGUGAUGUUAAAAAUCAUCUCAUUUCAACCCCCCUGCUGCACAGAGGGAUGCCAUUCACUACAUCAGGUUGCUCAGGGCCUCAUCCAACCUGGUCUUGGACAGAGUAUUAAGUAUAUUAUCCUGAUAAGUGUAACAUUUGAGUAAUAUGGAGGAAACCAAUAUAGAGAGCUGUAUGUAGAGGAGGGAAUACAGACAAUUUAAACAACUAUAAAUAUAUAUCUGAAAGCCUUUGCCAGGGCUGACUUUAUGUGAGACUGGGGCAGAAAGAAAUCUAUAUCAGAAAGGGACAAAGUUUUUUUAACAGACAUGUUUGUAGAAGAUAAAAUACAGCUUCAGAGCCACAGCACCUGCACAGCUCCUAUACUUUUCCAGAAAAGAUUAUUAUCUCCAAAUACUCCGGAAUUCAUCACCCUGCCAAUUAUUAGAAAAGCCCAUAUGAAGCAAGAUCCAAAGCAAGCAGGGAUCCCUCAUUUGUCACUUUACCUGCCAGUACCACACACAUUAGACUGAAUUCAGGGCCUUCUCCAGAUGUUUUGGAUAGACAAGAUUCCUGCAUAGCCUCUACAGUACAUGCUGACACAUCCAUGAAGGGGCUGUGGCUCUUACUUUCAAAGUUAUCUUUCAAUAAGGGUAUAUUUUCUGUGAAAGAGCAAAGGAACACCCCUCCUGAGCAGCUAAAGGAACCAUCUGUAGAAACUGCUUCUUGAGGAUGACUGACUUGACUAACUCAACAGAUUCAAUUUGCAUUAUUAACAAUAAACAUAAUUACAUAGAUAUAUCAACAAUGCUUCCAGAUAGUGCUACAAUUACAGGCUGAUUGAACACACUAUGCAUCAUGAAAUCAAAGCCACAAUUACUCAACAGAGAAUGUGAACAUGGUGAGACACUUGUGCAGUAUUAGAUUACAGUGCUGCAGGAAAUGACAGAGGAGCCAUUGCAUUAUAGUCAACAGAUUAAAGCAGAGCCAGUACCUCUACUACUAAUUGCUCUGGGGAGGAGCAAUUAAAGCCAACAUAUCUUCAGUUCCAGUGGCAAGGUGCUGAAGCUAGUGGCUCCUAGGUUACCAGGGACCUUGCUUUUCUGAUGUCUCACACAAUUACUUCCCAUUCCCCUACACUGCUGAUAGCUCUCUCCCUUCUUUCCAGUUUCUACUGCCUUUGAUACUCCAGUGCAUUCAGCCCACUUAUGCUUUUCAUUGUUAGUCAGCCUUUCUUUCUAUCUGCCUCAGUGGGCUAUGGGACUGUCCCUAAACACUUUCUGAUUUAAAGACUCUCCUCCAAACUCCUGUCCUUAACAACAGCUUUGCUGCUGUAUUUGUGUGGAUGUGCUCUGCCCUCUGGCCUCUCUGCACUGCUCUGUGAGGAGAAGACCUGGAGCAGGCAUAAUGACUUCCCUGGGUUUUGCAGGCACACUUGCAGCAUUAGAUGAGUAAUUUAACAACUCUGCCCUUUCAUGACAGAAAACAUACGAAUCAUUAGCAGUUAAUAAAACAAUGGAGCACACAGAUUUGGCAAACCUUUAUUACUGUCUAGGAAUUUCAGACUCACAGCCUAAGUAGUAGUCAGUACAAUAUUUAGAAAGCAUUUGUGUCUUUAGAAGUACUGCUUUCUCAGAAAUGAAAGGCCUGUUUCUUUUUCUUCUAUUUUCAUAAAAAUUAUUUCACUAUCUUUUAAUCAUUUGAUUGAGUCCUGCAAAGUGAAUCCAACUAAUUUAUGUGAACAUUGGUGUAAUUAGUGAAGAAAUGGUCAGUUUGUUAAAACCCUCCUCAGCUAUUAGUGUAUCAAUGGGUUUACUCUGAGGAGCAAUGUGUGAUGGGAUCUUUUCAACAUCAGCAACCCUUAAUUAGCUAGGUGAAGAACUCUGUAUUCCAUUUAGAGGAUAACUCCAUUUUUGAUCACUUAUCUUUUUCGCUUUGCCCCAAAUGUAGUAAGUUUCUUAUCCCAUAGUAUUUUGUUCUAGCUUUCCUAAAGCUACAAAAAACUCUACAGAAUUUUAACCAGCUAAUAUGUUAGAGUAUACGAAAAAAUCGGUUUCUUAUUACAUUUUCCUGCCAUGCAACAAGAAAGCACCAUAGCAACAUCAUUCUGUGCUCACUGCUGAAGUACCACAGGAUCUUCUCUUACCAAAAUAUGAGACCCAAGAAGCCACACCACCUGGCAUUUUGCUAACCUCUGCACAGUGAGAAAGGACUCCCUUUCCAUUGGGUUUAGGAUUCCACUUUGCUCUUGUUCUGUUCUCACUCCUUGGAAUCCUUUGGGCCAAACUUUACCAUCACUUAUGGGAAUGUAUAUACUUGCCAAUUAGUAGGGGGUAGAAAUACCUGCCACUUCUGAACUGUUUGCAUAACUUGUAAGCAGCAGAGAAGCUUAAUGGUUAAUUUGAUAAUUUGACACAUGCACACUUAAAAAUAAAUAGUGCUUAAACCCUUGUAAUUUUAUUCAUUUAUUGAAGGUGAUGUAAGUUUAAAGCCCAUUUAUGAAAAGAGGGUGUCCAAAUUGCAGCUUUUGAAAAUGCAACCCACUGUAUGUAGCUGCAAUAGCAAAAUUUAUAUUUUUCUAAUCUGUAGGUUUAUUUCAUUUUAUGCAAACAUAAAAAGCUCUAGGCACCUAGACAUAUACUAAGAAAGACAAAUUAAUAUCAACAACAUAAGCAGUCCUAGUAAUUUCCUGUAUGUGUAAAGGGAAAAUAAACCUAUUUGCUAUUUACUAAUCCCAAGCCCAAUACUCCCCCAGCCCUCAGCUGCCCUCUUUCCUCAGAGGCCUGGGAACAGAGCUGAGGGCUUUACAAUAUGCCUAAAAGAUCAGCAGUAAGCUCACUGCAGAAUAAAGAGGAGGGGUAGAAAACACUAACUAA